rnacentral:rRNA from 1 species
GUGGGGAAUUUUGGACAAUGGGCGAAAGCCUGAUCCAGCAAUGCCGCGUGCAGGAUGAAGGCCCUCGGGUUGUAAACUGCUUUUGUACGGAACGAAAAGCCUGGGGCUAAUAUCCCCGGGUCAUGACGGUACCGUAAGAAUAAGCACCGGCUAACUACGUGCCAGCAGCCGCGGUAAUACGUAGGGUGCAAGCGUUAAUCGGAAUUACUGGGCGUAAAGCGUGCGCAGGCGGUUUUGUAAGACAGUGGUGAAAUCCCCGGGCUCAACCUGGGAACUGCCAUUGUGACUGCAAGGCUAGAGUGCGGCAGAGGGGGAUGGAAUUCCGCGUGUAGCAGUGAAAUGCGUAGAUAUGCGGAGGAACACCGAUGGCGAAGGCAAUCCCCUGGGCCUGCACUGACGCUCAUGCACGAAAGCGUGGGGAGCAAACAGGAUUAGAAACCCUAGUAGUCC